UGGAAAAAAAUUUUAUUAUUAGCUAACAAUCAGAUGUGGCUUCCCGUGUAAGCCACAUCAAAGAACCAUUUUCUUUGAGAUUUUUCUAGAACAAGUGAGAAGAUGAGCAGUGGAUGAUGGGUGGUUUGGGUAGUGAAUCCGGCUUGGUUAAAAUAGUUUGAAGCUUAUAAUGUUGUAUCUACAACUGGGUUUACUCUUAUGAAGUGUUGGAAGGACGAUUUGAAGUAUGAGGGUUUGAGAAACUCUUUAAGAAUAGAGACUAGGGCCAUGCUCAAGAAUGUUCUUGAAGGGAAAUUGAAGAUUUGUGUUUACUAAGGUAAGGGCUUUAAUAGCAUUGUAAAUUUGAAUUUGAGAUUUAAUGUGGGAGCUAGUAUGAGAUUAUUCCAGAUAUAUGAGCUACUAGAACUUUUGUUGAAGUUGGAGAUUUGGUGGAAAUACGCACGGUGAAUCCGGUGAAUUAAAAAAAUCAUCAAGGAGGCAAGGAAAGUAAUAAAGCUUUCAAGGGUAAGUGUGAUUUAUGGAUCAAGCAUAUCUUAUAAGCCUUUGAGUUGUGAAAAAUAAUUGUUUUGGAUUUGGAUGUUGGAGAUGUGGAUAUGAGUUUGACAUGAUUGGGAAUUAUUGAAGUAUUGGAUUUUUCUUGAACUGGUUGUGUUAUAUAAUUUUUGGGAUUCGCAUUGGUGUGCCAUUAUGCUGUCGGAUUUUUUUUAACAUGUCAUUAAUAAUGGGACACAUUGGGAGAUUCUAUGUAGGUAAAUUGUGUUUUGUUUAGGUGACUAGUUGACCGGUGAAUUAUGCAAGUAAUGGAGGAAGUAGAUUGUGUUUUGGUUACUAAUAUCAGGUGAGUGAAUAGACAACUUGUUCGAUACAUUGGAUUCCUUUUCUCUUAUGGCCCUGCACUUUCUUCCAGAUUUGCAUCCAAUAUGACUUUAUUGAUGAAUCCAACAUUUUUGGUUAUGUUACCGUGAUUGAUAUAUGAUGGCAUCGUUCUCUCGUAUGUUAUGGGACAAGCAUGUUUUAUGGUUCCUUAUUAUGUUCCUUAUUUCCAGUCUGACACUGUACUAGUCUAUUCGAUUCUUGGUCACAUGUUUGUUCCCGGAGCGACAUUGGUCAAGAUAUUGUGUGCUAACAACAGUAUUCGUUAGCCUUAGUGCCAAGCAUGAUUCGGCA